rnacentral:pre_miRNA from 1 species
AGUCAUUGUUUGCGGGUGCCGCAUCACCAAGAUUCUUAAGUGAGUAGUGUGACAUGAUUUAAUUGAUUUAGUUAUGCCGAUCGGCUCACGGAGUUGAGAAUCUUGAUGAUGCUGCAUCAGCGAUGGAUGACU